rnacentral:rRNA from 1 species
CAGUCGCCACGGGAAUACGUAGGGUGCAAGCGUUAAUCGGAAUUACUGGGCGUAAAGCGUGCGCAGGCGGUUUUGUAAGACAGAGGUGAAAUCCCCGGGCUCAACCUGGGAACUGCCUUUGUGACUGCAAGGCUAGAGUACGGCAGAGGGGGAUGGAAUUCCGCGUGUAGCAGUGAAAUGCGUAGAUAUGCGGAGGAAUACCGAUGGCGAAGGCAAUCCCCUGGGCCUGUACUGACGCUCAUGCACGAAAGCGUGGGGAGCAAACAGGAUUAGAUACCCGCGUAGUCCCUGUCUCUUAUAC